rnacentral:tRNA from 1 species
UCCGGUGUGGUGUAAUGGCUAUCAUACUGCGCUUUCAUUAGAAAGUGCCGCAGGGACCGGGGUUCGAUUCCCCGCAUCGGAG